ACCACGUCCGUGUCGGCGUCGGCAUCCUGCUGGGUAAGGUUGUAAACCCUGCCCUGAAAAGGAGAUCUUCCUUGGUUCUGGUUCCUCGGGCACUCUCUCGCAUAGUGCUGGGCACUACCACAUAUGCGACAGGUGUUGUUGAGGCGGUAGCAUGGUCGGUCCCCGUGAUCCAUGCCACUGUGCUGACAGAUCUUUCCACGUGUUGCCCUUGGAGCCUGAGGAGGGGCCUGGAUCAUUGGUCUGGGCCUCUUAUUUGGUUGGACCGGCGCAGUAGGUGCUGGUUUGCGGGGUGGAGCUGAGGGUCGGUGACUCCCUGCUGACUGAGGAUGGGUGUUGAAACUCCUCUCCAUAAUCUGUGCCUUUGCUAGAACGACUAAGUAUGUCUUAAGCUCCAGUACCAAUAAGUGUUGCUUGAUUUCUGGGCGGAGGCCCCACUAGAAUCUCCUGGCCUUCCUGCCUUCAUCCAUCAAUGUCUCCGGGGAGUAUCGGCCCAGCUUUAGGAACUUACUAGCAUAUUCUGAUACCGUCAUGUUUCCCUGAACCAGCUGAACAAACUCCACCUCCUUCAGGUGUCGGAUGUGCUUAGGGAGAUACUCCGCAUGAAAGACCGCUAAGAACUGCUCCCAGG
rnacentral:lncRNA from 1 species